CCUACGGGAGGCAGCAGUGGGGAAUAUUGCACAAUGGGGGAAACCCUGAUGCAGCAACGCCGCGUGAGCGACGAAGGCCUUCGGGUUGUAAAGCUCUGUCUUAGCUGACGAAAAAUGACGGUAAGCUAGGAGGAAGCCACGGCUAACUACGUGCCAGCAGCCGCGGUAAUACGUAGGUGGCAAGCGUUGUCCGGAAUUACUGGGCGUAAAGGGAGCGUAGGCGGUCUUUUAAGUGGGAUGUGAAAUACCCGGGCUCAACCUGGGAAUUGCAUUUCAAACUGGGAGACUAGGGUGCAGGAGAGGAAAGUGGAAUUCCAAGUGUAGCGGUGAAAUGCGUAGAGAUUUGGAGGAACACCAGUGGCGAAGGCGACUUUCUGGACUGUAACUGACGCUGAGGCUCGAGAGCGUGGGGAGCAAACAGGAUUAGAUACCCUGGUAGUCCACGCUGUAAACGAUGAAUACUAGGUGUAGGGGGCGAAGCCCUCUGUGCCGCAGUUAACACAUUAAGUAUUCCGCCUGGGGAGUACGAUCGCAAGAUUAAAACUCAAAGGAAUUGACGG
rnacentral:rRNA from 1 species